rnacentral:rRNA from 1 species
AUUGAACGCUGGCGGAAUGCUUUACACAUGCAAGUCGAACGGCAGCACGGACUUCGGUCUGGUGGCGAGUGGCGAACGGGUGAGUAACAUAUCGGAACGUAUCCAAUAAUGGGGGAUAACGAGUCGAAAGAUUCGCUAAUACCGCAUACGCCCUACGGGGGAAAGCUGGGGACCUUCGGGCCUGGCGUUAAUGGAGCGGCCGAUAUCUGAUUAGCUAGUUGGUGAGGUAAAGGCUCACCAAGGCGACGAUCAGUAGCUGGUCUGAGAGGACGACCAGCCACACUGGAACUGAGACACGGUCCAGACUCCUACGGGAGGCAGCAGUGGGGAAUUUUGGACAAUGGGCGAAAGCCUGAUCCAGCCAUUCCGCGUGAGUGAAGAAGGCCUUCGGGUUGUAAAGCUCCUUCGCAAGGGAAGAAAACUUAGCCACUAACAUUGGUUGAGGUUGACGGUACCUUGAUAAGAAGCACCGGCUAACUACGUGCCAGCCGCCGCAGUAA